rnacentral:rRNA from 1 species
GAUGAACGCUGGCGGCGUGCCUAAUACAUGCAAGUCGAGCGCGAGAUUGAGGAGCUUGCUCCUCAUGAUCGAGCGGCGGACGGGUGAGUAACACGUAGGCAACCUACCCUUGAGAUUGGGAUAACUACCGGAAACGGUAGCUAAUACCGGAUACGACUUUACUGCAUAAGCAGUUCAGUUAAAAGGCGGAUUUAUAUGCCGCUCAUGGAUGGGCCUGCGGUGCAUUAGCUAGUUGGUGAGGUAGUGGCUCACCAAGGCGACGAUGCAUAGCCGACCUGAGAGGGUGAUCGGCCACACUGGGACUGUGACACGGCCCAGACUCCUACGGGAGGCAGCAGUAGGGAAUCUUCCGCAAUGGACGAAAGUCUGACGGAGCAACGCCGCGUGAGUGAUGAAGGGUUUCGGCUCGUAAAACUCUGUUGUUAAGGAAGAACACUUGAGGUAGUAACUGGCCUUGAGAUGACGGUACUUAACCAGAAAGCCACGGCUAACUACGUGCCAGCCGCCGCUGUAA